rnacentral:tRNA from 1 species
GGGGAUGUGGCUCAGUGGUAAAGCACUUGCCUAGCAGGUGUGUGGCCCUGAGUUCAAUCCCCAGCACCGCCC